AUUGAACGCUGGCGGCACGCCUUACACAUGCAAGUCGAACGGUAACAGGUCUUCGGAUGCUGACGAGUGGCGAACGGGUGAGUAAUACAUCGGAACGUGCCCGAUCGUGGGGGAUAACGAAGCGAAAGCUUUGCUAAUACCGCAUAAGAUCUACGGAUGAAAGCAGGGGACCGCAAGGCCUUGCGCGAACGGAGCGGCCGAUGGCAGAUUAGGUAGUUGGUGGGAUAAAGGCCUACCAAGGCUACGAUCUGUAGUUGGUCUGAGAGGACGACCAGCCACACUGGGACUGAGACACGGCCCAGACUCCUACGGGAGGCAGCAGUGGGGAAUUUUGGACAAUGGGCGCAAGCCUGAUCCAGCAAUGCCGCGUGCAGGAAGAAGGCC
rnacentral:rRNA from 1 species